rnacentral:rRNA from 1 species
CCCAGACUCCUACGGGAGGCAGCAGUGGGGAAUAUUGGGCAAUGGGCGCAAGCCUGACCCAGCAACGCCGCGUGAAGGAAGAAGGCUUUCGGGUUGUAAACUUCUUUUGUCAGGGAAGAGUAGAAGACGGUACCUGACGAAUAAGCCACGGCUAACUACGUGCCAGCAGCCGCGGUAAUACGUAGGUGGCAGGCGUUGUCCGGAUUUACUGGGUGUAAAGGGCGUGUAGCCGGGUUGACAAGUCAGAUGUGAAAUCCUGCGGCUUAACCGCAGAACUGCAUUUGAAACUGUUGAUCUUGAGUACUGGAGAGGCAGACGGAAUUCCUAGUGUAGCGGUGAAAUGCGUAGAUAUUAGGAGGAACACCGGUGGCGAAGGCGGCCUGCUGGACUGCAACUGACGUUGAGGCCCAAAAGCGUGGGGAGCAAACAGGAUUAGAUACCCUCGUAAU